rnacentral:rRNA from 1 species
UCGAGAAUCUUUCACAAUGGGCGAAAGCCUGAUGGAGCGACGCCGCGUGGAGGACGAAGGUCUUCGGAUCGUAAACUCCUGUCAUCGGGGAACAAGGCCCCGCUUUCGCGGGGAUUGAUAGUACCCGAAGAGGAAGAGACGGCUAACUCUGUGCCAGCAGCCGCGGUAAUACAGAGGUCUCAAGCGUUGUUCGGAUUCACUGGGCGUAAAGGAUGCGUAGGCGGUCGGCUAAGUCACAUGUGAAAUCUCGGGGCUCAACCUCGAAACUGCAUGCGAUACUGGUCGGCUCGAGGGCCGGAGAGGAGACUGGAAUUCACGGUGUAGCAGUGAAAUGCGUGGAUAUCGUGAGGAACGCCAGUGGCGAAAGCGGGUCUCUGGACGGCACCUGACGCUGAGGCAUGAAGGCCAGGGGAGCGAACGGG